rnacentral:lncRNA from 1 species
AUUUACAGAGCAUGCAAGACAACAUGAGAACUCACAUCGACAACCGGAUCAUUGGUUUUGGACAUCACAUCCAUUCUACCAUGUAUGAGCUCAUGAUGACUAGGUUGCAAAAUGUUCAGGAGGGUCUUCACAAUGACAUUGGAGCCUUGGGUGCUAGGCUUGACACUAUGAAUCUUAGUGGUUCUACUUCUUAGCUUGAUGAGCGCCAACAGAAACUUGAGCACAACAUGAACACUCUCUCAUCCAGUUUCUCCAGCUUCAGUGAUCAUUUCUACAGUAUCUUUCCAGCUCCUACUCCGCCUCCUGACUUCUACCCUCACCAGCCGUACUAUCCUCC